CCUACGGGAGGCAGCAGUGGGGAAUAUUGCACAAUGGGGGAAACCCUGAUGCAGCGACGCCGCGUGAGUGAAGAAGUAUUUAGGUAUGUAAAGCUCUAUCAGCAGGGAAGAAAAUGACGGUACCUGAUGAAUAAGCCCCGGCUAACUACGUGCCAGCAGCCGCGGUAAUACGUAGGGUGCAAGCGUUAUCCGGAGUUACUGGGCGUAAAGGGAGCGUAGACGGGCUUGCAAGUCAGAAGUGAAAUCCUGUGGCUUAACUCCAGAACUGCUUUUGAAACUAUGUGACUGGAGUGCAGGAGAGGUAAGUGGAAUUCUUGGUGUAGCGGUAAAAUGCGUAGAUAUCAGGAGGAAUACUAGUGGCGAAGGCGGCUUACUGGAAUAUAACUGACGUUCAGGCUCGAAAGCGUGGGGAGCAAACAGGAUUAGAUACCCGUGUAGUC
rnacentral:rRNA from 1 species